CUGCAGCUCAAGUGGUGACCGCUAUUAUUGGGCCUAAAACGUCCGUAGCCUGUUUAGUAAAUGCCUGGGUAAAUCGUGUAGCUUAACUAUACGAAUUCCGGGUAGACUGCUAAACUUGAGACCGGGAGAGGCUAGAGGUACUUCUGGGGUAGAGGUGAAAUUCUGUAAUCCUGGGGGGACCACCAGUGGCGAAGGCGUCUAGCUAGAACGGGUCUGACGGUGAGGAACGAGGCCCUGGGGCGCAAACCGGAUUAGAGACCCGAGUAGUCC
rnacentral:rRNA from 1 species